AUGAACGCUGGCGGCGUGCCUAAUACAUGCAAGUCGAGCGAACAGACGAGGAGCUUGCUCCUCUGACGUUAGCGGCGGACGGGUGAGUAACACGUGGAUAACCUACCUAUAAGACUGGGAUAACUUCGGGAGACCGGAGCUAAUACCGGAUAAUAUAUUGAACCGCAUGGUUCAAUAGUGAAAGACGGUUUUGCUGUCACUUAUAGAUGGAUCCGCGCCGCAUUAGCUAGUUGGUAAGGUAACGGCUUACCAAGGCGACGAUGCGUAGCCGACCUGAGAGGGUGAUCGGCCACACUGGAACUGAGACACGGUCCAGACUCCUACGGGAGGCAGCAGUAGGGAAUCUUCCGCAAUGGGCGAAAGCCUGACGGAGCAACGCCGCGUGAGUGAUGAAGGUCUUCGGAUCGUAAAACUCUGUUAUUAGGGAAGAACAAAUGUGUAAGUAACUAUGCACGUCUUGACGGUACCUAAUCAGAAAGCCACGGCUAACUACGUG
rnacentral:rRNA from 1 species